UACGGGGGGGGGCAAGCGUUGUCCGGAAUCAUUGGGCGUAAAGAGCGUGUAGGCGGCCAGAUAAGUCCGCUGUGAAAUCUCGAGGCUCAACUUCGAGCUGUCGGUGGAAACUGUCUGGCUAGAGUCCGGAAGAGGAGAAUGGAAUUCCUGGUGUAGCGGUGAAAUGCGCAGAUAUCAGGAAGAACACCCGUGGCGAAGGCGGUUCUCUGGGACGGUACUGACGCUGAGACGCGAAAGCGUGGGGAGCGAACAGG
rnacentral:rRNA from 1 species